AUGAGUCUUGAUGGUGGUUUGGGGGAUGAUUCAGAAGCUGCUGGCUCCAGCCAUGGUCCUAGUUUCACGGAUGGCAUGAGCUUCGAUGAUGUUUCAGACAAUGGUAAACAAACAGACGCACAUGGAAAAAACAAGAAUGGCUGUGAUUGUGAUGAUCAACAGGAAGGCGAGCCAGUGCAACAAGAAAAUGUUGAACACCUAUCACAGGAGGACAUACUCAUGUUCAUAGAAAGUGACAGUGUUUGUGCGGCUCAGGCUCAGACUUGCAGCCAAGAAGUACGGAGCCACCAUGUGCCAUAUGUGGGCAUGGUCUUUGAUUCUUGUGAUGCUGCCCAUGCAUUCUACAAUGAGUAUGCAGCCAUUUGUGGUUUUGCAAUCAAGAAAGCAGGCAACUACCAUGCAACUAAACCUGGUGGCAAGACAGUGUCCCGUUACACUUACAGGUGCAACCGCUCGGGUAAAGUUGUUGGCGAGGAUGUGCUUGAAGAAAAGAAAAAACAGAGGCAGCUCAAGAAGCAAGAAAAAACAGGGAUUCUCCCGCCCGAGAAGGCAAAAAGGAAGAGGAAAAACUUCAUACAAAUAACCGGGUGCCAGGCUAAAAUGAUUGCAACACUAAAAGGAGACAAAUGGGUUGUCACGGUUGUUGACCUGGAGCACAACCACACCCUUAGCCCUCCAAACGAGAGCAAGUAUCUUAGAUCGCACAAGAAGAUGACAGAGGAAGAGAAGUUGUUUAUCGGGACAUUUAACUCUGUACAAAUGCCCACUAGGAAGAUUAUGGCCAUUCUUUCUUACCUGCGAGGGGGUGAUGCACCAUACACUAAGAAAUAUGUUAGCAAUGUGAGGACGGCAAUAAACAGAGAGAAUCGCAAGGGAGAUAUGCUGCAGGUCCUUGAGUACUUUAGGAACAAACAAAAGGAAGAUCCAAAUUUCUACUAUGCAUUCAAAGUUGCUGACAAGGACAUCAACAAGGUGUUGUGCAUAUUCUGGGCGGAUGGCUACUCGAGAAAAAUGUAUGAGCUGUAUGGUGAUUGUUUGAGUUUCGACAUGACAUACAAGACAAACCGAUACAAUAUGCUGUUUGCACCGUUUGUUGGCAUCACUGGACACGGGCUCAACUCCUUGUUUGCUUGUGCUAUAGUGCACAAUGAGACGGUGGACACAUUUGAAUGGCUUUUCGACACAUUUCUGGACUGCAUGCGUCGAAAAGCUCCUCUCACGGUCAUUACUGACCAAGAUGUGGCGCUGAAGACCGCGGUUCCUGCUGUUUUCAAGGGUGUUGUUCACAGGUGUUGUCUGUUCCACAUAAUGAAAAAGGUUCGGGAAAGAUGUGUGAGAACCUUUUCAACACAACCAGACUUGUAUGCUGACUUCAGCGACAUCAUGCAUAACUGCUUGAAAGAGGUAGAGUUUGAGACGUUGUGGCCACCAAUGACGCAGAAGUAUGGAGUAGAGAAUGUCAAGUACUUCAGGUACAUGUGGAAGUACAGGAAGUUGUUUGUCCCAGUCUAUUUCAAGAAAAGCUUCUUCCCUUUCAUCCACUCGACUGCCCGGACUGAAGGGACAAAUGCCAUAUUCAAGGACAACGUAGGCUCAACAUUCAGUGUGAUUACCUUUUUGCGUGAGUAUGAGCGGAUAUUGAAAGCGAUGCAGGAGAAUGAGAAGGAACAAGACUCUAUUACCAGAACAACAAAGCCAACCUACUGGCUGGGCACUGAACUGGAAUUGCAGGCUGCAGAGAAGUACAACAGAGCGAUAUUCUACAAAUUUCAGAAAGUUAUAAAGUUUGCAAGCCAGUUGCAUGUGGAGGAGGUUGAGAAAAACACAAGGUACGAGGUGUACAAGACAAGGAUGCUCGCUGAGAAAGACUUUAGAAUCCGGAGAUAUGUUGUCAUUGUUGAUAUGCACAGAGAGGAUUUUGCUUGCAUUUGUGGAAAGUUUGAAAAAGAUGGCAUUGUGUGCAGCCAUAUACUUAGGGUAUUAACACACCUCAACUUGCCAGUGCUACCUGAGAAGUACUAUAUUGACAGAUGGAGACCCAAGCAAAGAAAAGACAUUAGAAAACUCAGGUACGGCGUCCCUGAGGAGCUAACAGCAGGGGACCAUCACCUUAGAUACAUGUUGCUGUCUAGCAGACUGAAUGAAAUGGCUUCGGAUGCUGCGUCAUCCAAUGAAAAAUAUAUGUAUGUGGUUGGUGAAAGUGUGAGGAUUGAGGCAAAGCUAGAUGAGAUGAGUUUGGCAGAGGAGGAGCAAAAAAUGCAAGAUAAGCAUGUUGAUAGAGCUCUAGCCCCUACUAUGGUCACACCGCACACUGAUGGGUACGGGGAAAGUCUAAAGGAUCCUGAUGUUAUUGUUCCGAAGGGGCGUCCACAAGAGCGUUACAAGACAUUUUUGGAGAAACUACAAGAAAAACAACAAAUUGGUUGCAGCCAUUGUGGUCAGCAUGACCAUGUUUUUGCUCCGUGCACAAACAAACACAUCCCCAGGUCCCAAUUUCACAAGAAGACUACAUUCGGCGAGCAACCAACAGGAGUCCCUGGUGCUUCAAAGGAUAGUAGUAGGAAGAAUCAAACAGGAGGGGGGACAAAAGCAGGUGACAAACGGAGUGCACAGAAGGAUACUACUAGUGGGCCUAGUGCCUCAAAGGGGAUGUCUAGCAAAAAACAAACAGGAGGGAAGCAAAAAACAGGCGAGAAGCGGAGCGCACGAAAAGAUACUACUGGUGCAUCUUGA
rnacentral:rRNA from 1 species